rnacentral:lncRNA from 1 species
GCACACCGAGAGCUUCCUUUGGCACAGCAGCUAGCACUAGACCUGAAGGCAGCAGGCUUGUGCGCAGCUGCUGCUCCUUGCCGGGAAGCCGAUCACUGCACCAGGAUCAGCUUUGGAUCCUCCUCAGCAGCAGCAGCUGAGCAGCCAGGGGUCGCGGGCAUGCACCAGCUGAAACUUGCGCAGGCUGCCUGCUAACGGGUCUUCCUCCUCUGGUGCCCACGGGCCCGCACAGUCCUUAAAACAGCUGCCCUGCUGAUGGAGCAGAAAUAACAGGCUCCGGAUCUCGGCUCACCUGAGGGGGCCGGUGAGAGGCACAGAGAAGGGGUUAUAGCGCCUGGAGGAAAGCGACUGUCACGGACCUCUUAUGACCAUGCUUUCUCGUGAUCACGUUUCCCCAUUUCUUGGGACUCUGAGGUACCCCCCGCUCUGGACCUGAGGAAGUAGUUGCAGCAGUGACUAGGUUUGUGCAUUGCUUUUACGGCAGGUAAGGGGAGCGUCUCUGCCGGUUUCGUUAACUUAAGAGGGUUGUCAGAUCUCAGAGGGAUGGUUAAAGAGCUUUUAUCUAUUGAGAUCUUCACCGCAGCGUUAAUAGUUUCUUCUUAAAGGAGACUGGGGAAGGGAUCUCUUGGGGGAUUGAUUAAAAAAAAAAAUUCUGACAGAGAUUAAACACAGCAUUCUUAUUCCCUCUGACUUCUACCUCUUUGGACUCCAAAACUGGCCACCUUGGUAGAAUUUUGCCUUGAUCCUGCCAUUUAACGUUCCAUUGGCAAGAUCAGGUUAAAGAUAAUUUAUUAUAUUUAGAAAUGAAGCUCCCUGCUUUUUUUUCCCAUUAAGUAAAAGAACUUGGACUAUAAGUAAACUGAUUAAAAAUAAAACAUAAAAGCCCUAAAACUUCAAAAAAAA